rnacentral:misc_RNA from 1 species
GAUGAAGAACGUAGCGAAAUGCGAUAAGUAGUGUGAAUUGCAGAAUUCAGUGAAUCAUCGAAUCUUUGAACGCACAUUGCGCCUCUAGUAACUUGGAGGCAUGCCUGUCUGAGCGUCAUUUAAAACCAUAAACUCAAUCGAGUUUGUCCUGGGCAUCGCCCCUGGGCGUAGCCUUAAAGUCAUCGGUCUUAAACGCGGACGAGUUCCAUUAGGACAGACCGUGUCUAGACUUUAAACCUCCGAUUUGACCUCAGAUCAGGUAGGACUACCGCCUGAACUUAAGCAUAUCAAUAAGCGGAGGA